UACAGAGGGGGCAAGCGUUAUUCGGAAUUAUUGGGCGUAAAGGGCGCGUAGGCGGCUUGGCAAGUGGAAGGUGAAAUCCCUCGGCUUAACCGAGGAACUGCCCUCCAAACUGCUUUGCUUGAGGCCGGGAGAGGCGAGUGGAAUUCCCAGUGUAGGCGGUGAAAUGCGUAGAUAUUGGGAGGAACACCAGUGGCGAAGGCGGCUCGCUGGACCGGUUCUGACGCUGAGGCGCGAAAGCGUGGGGAGCAAACGGG
rnacentral:rRNA from 1 species